CUGCAGUCGAGCGAACAGAAAAGGAGCUUGCUCCUUUGACGUUAGCGGCGGACGGGUGAGUAACACGUGGGCAACCUACCCUAUAGUUUGGGAUAACUCCGGGAAACCGGGGCUAAUACCGAAUAAUCUCUUUUGCUUCAUGGUGAAAGACUGAAAGACGGUUUCGGCUGUCGCUAUAGGAUGGGCCCGCGGCGCAUUAGCUAGUUGGUGAGGUAACGGCUCACCAAGGCGACGAUGCGUAGCCGACCUGAGAGGGUGAUCGGCCACACUGGGACUGAGACACGGCCCAGACUCCUACGGGAGGCAGCAGUAGGGAAUCUUCCACAAUGGGCGAAAGCCUGAUGGAGCAACGCCGCGUGAGUGAAGAAGGUUUUCGGAUCGUAAAACUCUGUUGUAAGGGAAGAACAAGUACAGUAGUAACUGGCUGUACCUUGACGGUACCUUAUUAGAAAGCCACGGCUAACUACGUGCCAGC
rnacentral:rRNA from 1 species